UAGGGAAUAUUGCACAAUGGGCGAAAGCCUGAUGCAGCAACGCCGCGUGUGUGAUGAAGGCCUUCGGGUCGUAAAGCACUUUCUGGGAGAUGAGAAAGGACAGUAUCCCAGGAAUAAGUCUCGGCUAACUACGUGCCAGCAGCCGCGGUAAAACGUAGGAGGCGAGCGUUAUCCGGAUUCACUGGGCGUAAAGCGCGUGCAGGUGGCGCGGUAAGUUAGGCGUGAAAGCUCCCGGCUCAACUGGGAGAGGUCGCCUAAUACUACCGUGCUUGAGAGCAGAAGAGGAAGAUGGAAUUCCCGGUGUAGUGGUGAAAUGCGUAGAUAUCGGGAGGAACACCAGUGGCGAAGGCGAUCUUCUGGUCUGUUUCUGACACUCAGACGCGACAGCUAGGGUAGUAAACGGGAUUAGAGACCCCGGUAAUCCUAGCCGUAAACGAUGUGAACUUGGCGUUGGUGGGUUAAACUCCAUCAGUGCCGCAGCAAACGCGA
rnacentral:rRNA from 1 species